CUUUGAUUCUGGGAACCCCUGUAGGUGCAGAUCAAACCCUAAUGCUGCGACGUCUUGGAGUUUGGCGAUGUUGUGCGUAGCAUGGACAACAAAAUGCUAUGCUGCAACAUUUCAGUGCCAAUGUGUCUGUUGGAGAGUUAUCCCUGCCAGGGGAUCUGUUACUUCCCCCUAGACACCCAGGAAGAUUUGGCGUUGCUUGACAACAGUUUGAGGCAGGAUAAAGAGCUCCAGCAACGAUUUCUUCGGUUUUUGGCAAUCAAAUGUGGGAGGGCCCUAAAGACAACCGUGUGGCGAAUGCUUCAGAGUAUCUUCUCUAAUCACCUUUCCAUCAAACAACCUGGACUGGUGUAGGGGAUAAAUCAUGUUUUAGAAACAUGUUCCUGAAGACCAUUGUUCAAAGAGCCAUCUGGAAGAACCCGGCAACCCAGGAUGCCACUGAUGAGGCGAUCCAGGUUAACGUUACGCGUUACCUGAAAGGAGCAUCUGACCGUGAAGGUGGAAAAAGGCGCCGCACAGCUGAG